CCAUCAUUGAGUUAGUUUUGUUUAAUUUAGGUUAUUGUUCCUCCUUUAAACCGAUGCUUCCUACUUUUGGGCGUAGACACAGGACAAUGGUAUGCUGAUCUACCGAGACACUACAAGCCUUUACACCAGGCGGUCGUCAAAAAUAAAGGAAUUAUUUCCAAAUACUUUGUCUGUCAGUCCUGCCGAGCUUGUGAUCAGUACUCUACGAGUGUACUUUGUGAGAGCUGCAGAAGCUGCCGAGAUACAAGCGCUCUUCUACUAGCCAGGAAGCUUCACAAUAUACAGCAGAAUAUACAGGACUGCUGGCGGGAGUGUGUCAAGUGUGCCGGGAAUAUAGGAAGAGAGUGUAUCAGCUUAGACUGCUCCCAUCUCUACCGAAGGGUCACUGCGCUCAAAAUGGAAGAUGAUGUCGGGCCUUUGUCUGAACUUCUAGAAGAGCUGAACAACAUUGAACAGGGAAGCCUCGAGAGUUAAUGUUUAAAGGAAAUAUCGAGUUUCAAGCACUCAAGGAAAAUAUAAAAAGUUGAUUUUUCUUUUAAAAAAUAUCUGUGAUAAUAUGCGAUUAAUUUAAAUGUAUCAAUGAUUUUAUUUGUAUGUAAUUAAAUUAUGAAUGAAUUUAUUUAAAUCCCAAUAUAAAACUCAAAACUAUA